CGACCGGCGGACGGGUGCGUAACGCGUAUGUAGCCUACCUUUGACAGGGGGAUAACAUCGAGAAAUUGGUACUAAUACCCCAUAACAUCACCGGAGGCAUCUUCGGUGGUUGAAAACUCAGGUGGUCAGAGAUGGACAUGCGUUGUAUUAGCUAGUUGGUGAGGUAACGGCUCACCAAGGCGACGAUACAUAGGGGGACUGAGAGGUCAACCCCCCACAUUGGUACUGAGACACGGACCAAACUCCUACGGAAGGCAGCAG
rnacentral:rRNA from 1 species